GGGCCGGUCGUCUAGCCUGGUAGGACGCCGCCCUUGCGAGGCGGAGGUCCCGGGUUCAAAUCCCGGCCGGUCCACCA
rnacentral:tRNA from 2 species